rnacentral:lncRNA from 1 species
AUGAACUGUGAUAAUCCAGGCCUUCCCACACUUCACACAGGAGGCGUGGUGGCGCCCCCUACAGGAGGCGUGGUGAAGUGCACUACAGGAGGCGUGGUGAAGUGCACUACAGGAGCAGACAGAGGGAUCCAGCUUGCAGGUCCUGCAGCAGGGGCAGGUUUAGGGGCAGGUUUAGGGUCUGGGGCAGGUUUAGGGGCAGGUUUAGGGGCAGGGGCAGGUUUAGGGGCAGUGGAGGGGAUGAUCCGGCUUGCAGGGGCAGGUGCAGGUUUAGGGGGAGUGGAGGGGAUGAUCCAGCUCCUGGCCCUUCCCUCUGAGCCGACUCAGAGCUCCGUCUUCACUGCUCUCCCUGUCAACCUCAUCCUGCAGUCUGCCCCCCUCGUCCAGCAGGUGGCGCCACCUCCCAAGGCAAAGGCCAAGAGGCGCAAGAAGCCGUCUCAGUCCAAGGAUCCCAACAGCUUCAAUGAGAAGUACCGCAGGCUCAUGGCCAAGAUGGAGCAGCCCCAGCUGGCGCCCCCUGUGGCUCAGGAGGGGAAGGACACCCAGCCCUGCGCUGGCUACAGUGGGGGCGUUGGCCCGGUCAUGGGCUGCUCCCAGGAGCAGCUCUUCGGAGGUUACCAUGACAACAGCACCCCAACCUCCGUCACCCCGGAGGAGAUGUACGGAGACCCACAUCAGUGGGCAGCGGGCUCUCUGCUCCCCUUCCCAGACACCUGGCUAGCCGUUUCUCCCCCCAUAAUGCCUGACUGGGGGAGUGCAGUGGAGCCCUCUGAUGGACUGGAGGCUGAACUGGAGCUGCUGUUCCCGGAUCAGCCAGAGCCCGAGACAGAGAGACAGGAAGUGCUCCUCAGCGCCUACUACACUCCCAUCUCUGAGAACACAGGUUGCCGUGGCUACCCAGAGCUGCUGCUCUUUGGGGACUUGGAGGACAGCGAGGACUGGAGAGAGUCGUCCGGCUCGGACCACGUGAGCACGAUGUCUCUGCUUGACUGGGCUCUCAUCACAGACAUGUUCCCUGAACACACUCCCUUGGACAGGCCGGCCCCCCCCCCGCCUCUCCCCCACAUUCCCAGCCACACUCACACACCUGCUCAACACCUGUGGAACACUGGGAAUUAUGGUUACCACAGCAACGUGUUCCAUCACAAUGCGGGGGCGUGUCAAAAUGGUGACGCUGUCUGUGCUGCAUUGGUCGCUGGUGUGGAGGAGAGGGGCGGCCUGAGUGAGCCAAUGAGGAGUGCAGGGGGUGGAGCUGGGUCUGGAGCGUACCACGUGUACUGA